rnacentral:sRNA from 1 species
AUAAUUAAUUACAUGACAAUGCCAUUAAAAAAAAUUAAUUAAAAACAAAAUCCUUUAAUGACGUAAUUAAGGUUACCAAAAUCAUUUAACGACAAUAUUUAUUUCUUAAUUAUAGGGCUUAUUAUAUCUAAAGACGGGUCAUCAAAGAUUUCCUAAACUGAAGCAAAAUAUACCGAAUAUUUAAAUAUCUAUCUGUUACCAAAUUAUAAACAAAUAAGUUAAUAAAUCAAUAACUAUUUGGAGGGACGGGUUUUUGAAUCAACAUUAAUAAAAAAGUAAAAUAUAAUUGAUCCACUGUUUCAAUACGGGUUAAAUAUUUAAUUAUUAUUUUUUAAGACCACUAAUAUUAAACAUAUCAAAUCAUCCUAAUUUAGAAAAGGUUAUAUAAAACCAAAAAUGUUAUGUGGUAUGUAUAAUGUUACUAUAUAUAAAAUUAAACUAUAAAAUAUAAAUGUAUUAGAGAAUGAUACAAUUUGUAAAACUUUUAUAUGUAAUAAAUAAUUUUCAAAUUUUUAAAAUUACUACUUUAAAAAUAAAUCACGGGAUGGGUAAAGAAAUUACAGAACGGAUUUUAUUUUGGAAUUGAGUUAUAUGGUGGAUGUAUUUGAAUCAAUAUUUAUAAAAUUUUAAAAUAUUAUUAAUAUGCUGUUUUAGUAAGGGUUAAAACUUCAGUUUUUUAACAAUUGUCUCAUGGAUUCGUUGUAUAGCGUUACUUAAUAACAAUUAUAAACUGUAAAAUAUAAAUAUUUUAUAAAAAUAAAAUUUGCAAGUUUUAAUAUAUAUUAACUUUAAAAAAUAAAUUAUACCGCAGUAUACCGCGGGUUAAAAUCUAGUUUAUAUAUAUUUCACUUAAUUUUGUCUAUGUU